CGAACAGUCGUACAUAUAUAGAAUUGUGAUCUAUGAAUUCACCAGACAGGCUGAGUAAAAUUAUUGGUAGGAGUAAAAUGGUGUAGUGGGGAAUAUUCUACGAUAUAGGAUAAUGGAAAAAGGAAAGAUACAAAGCUUCCACAUACGAAUCAUCAAUUUGCCAAUGCAGAUUAUUUAGAAUUUUUCAAGUAUUUAAUGAUGCUAUUACAAAGUUUCUGUUCCUUUCAUUGUCGCUCUUGUCAAAGUCAUUUUGGAUUCGCGUCUACCGACAGAUUUGACAAAAAAAAGCUUUAUUGUCCUUCGUGUAAUAAUCAUGGAGAACGAUGAAGAACAUGAUAAAAUUCUGGAUAUGUUAUCUGACAAUUUUUUAUAUAUUUCAAGUGAAAGUGAAGAUAUUGACCAUUGUGACAAUGAUACUGAAAGUGAAAGAAGUGAGGAGGAUGAAAAAAAAAAUAAAAGAAAAAUUGGCAUAUUGCAGGAAAUUUGUUUUCAUGCCUCUAUGCAGAAUAGACAUAAUCAUGAAAGGUGACCUCUGUUUUAAAGUAAUAUGAUUUCUGCUAUGGACAACACUCGGUUGGUCUGUUAUACAGAUAUUCAGUGUCGUCGUUUGUGCAGUCAUGAAAUUUAUCUUUGUUUUAAUAAAAUAAAAAAAGAAUCGUGAGGCAAACUUAAUGUUUUCAUUUAAAUAUCAUCAUUGCAGUCGUUUGUGUAGCCAUAUAUAAAUUUAUCUUUGUUUCGAUAAAAAAAAAGAAGAAUCGUGAGUUUUCUCCGUUAAUUCAAGUUUAUGUGCGUUUUGCGAUUUCAAUUAAUUUUUAGAAACGUAUACUUGAAUAGACUGCACACAAAGCAGUCACAGUCAUAAGUUGUUUUAAAGUUUUAUUUAUAUAUAUUUUUUAUAGUCAUAUAUACUAUACUUCUAUAUAAAAUAAACAAUAGAUAUUCGACAAUUAAUUCAUUGUCCGUUUCUUAAUUAAUAAAUGAUUAUAUCGCGUAUUAAAGUCAGUGCAUCAUGGAAGGUGAUCAAGAACUUCUAUACAAAAUAUUUCUAUACAAAAAUAUUGAUAAAUCAUCAUUGCAUUCAAAUUAAGUUGAUCUUUAAUCACUACAACUUUAAUCUCUCUUAUUUUGGAUAUACAAUGUGGACGAGAUUUUUGAAACCAUCAUGAAACUUCGUAAGUAGUGAGUGAAAGAAUUUAAGUAUACUUAUAGUACUCAUCAUGCCGAAAACGCAAGAUCGUCGAUAGGCUUUUCGUUAAAUUAUUGAGAUACAUCACUAUUAAUAAUUUUUUUUCUAAGUUUAUUCAUGAGUAGUACAUUUUUAAUUGUGUAUUUUCAUUGCUUUUUUAUUAUAUAUAUCUAUUCUUUUUAAUUUGGUGUUUUUUUGUUUCAUCAGUUUAAAUCAUUUAAUUAAUAUUGCAGUUAAGUAAUAUUUCUUUUGUUCGUAUUUGGUUGUAAUAUUAAUAGUGACAUCUGGUAUUCAUUUACCUGAUAUCAUCAAAAAAAGCAUGUUAGGUGGUUUACAUUGCAUUCAUUGUUUCGUAUUUAUUCUAUUUAAUCGCAGUAUACUUCGAUAUAUUGAUAUUGAUAUAUUAAAAAAGAAUGAGAAGACAAACGCGACGAUUAGAUUGUAGUAAUUGGUUUUAUUCUUUUAUAAGAACAGCUACUUUUAGUGAAAGGAGUUAUCCGAAGUUCUUAAAUUAUUUUUGGAAAAAUAUAUAUUCAAUCAAUUUUGCUAAAAAAGAAAGAGCUAUCAACAGAAUCAUUGAUUUUAAAAGAAAAAAAUAGAGUGGUCAUUGCUAAAAAAGAAAGUUUUGAAAAUUAUCGUACAUGUGUUAAAAAUUAGAUAGACUAGUGUGGUCUAUACUAAAUUAAUUCAUUAUUAAUUUAAGAUUUUCAACAAUUAAUAUAUUGAUUCCUGUUUAUCUUCUCGUACUUUCUGCGUUUUUAUUUAAGCAUGUGCCAGGUGAUUUAUGGAUAAAAAUUAGUUCGAUUUUAAUUUUAAGUUUUCCUUUUCUAGCGAUUGCGUUAGUAAUUGUGCAUUAUAUAUUUCGCACUUGAUGAAUCCACGAAUGUUAAAUGGUCGAUUAAACGUCGUUAAAUUUUUAAUUACAUAUAUAUAUACAUACAAGAAAAUUUCAUUAUUCGAAAUAUCAAAUUAAUCAUUAAAUAUAGUAAUGAGUAAAAAAAUAGUCGUAUUACACAUACACACACACGACGCGCGCACCUGCUGACCCUUUGCACUUAACGACUUUGCCGCUAGGGAGAAUUAACAACUCAAAACAAUUUUGCGAAUAUUAAGCAAGCUUCUUACAGCUAUUUUAAAAUGAAAUAUCCAAAAAAUUUGGUUAAAUAUGUCUCUUGUGAAUAUUUUUGAAUAAAAAGGAAUGUUGCUUACGUUAUUCCUUGAUCAAUACUGUUGUAAAUUUGCCAAUAGCAUGGUGUUCAUAUUUAUUACAUCAACAAAUGCCCAAAAUUCUUCGUUGUUCACAUCAUGCCAAGUUUGCCAUAUCGAAUUCAACCAUAACGUGUUCACUUUUAACUUUUUUUAUCAUAAUUAUUUAUUUCACACAAAUUCUUUUUUGUCUUAGAAAAAUCUUUUGGUAACAGAAUUGCGUAUAAUGACUGGUUUAUUAUAUAAGAAAUGAUAGACGCAUACAAUAUACACAGGUUCUAACUUAAAUGAGAAUAUUAAACACGGUAACAAAACUAUAAUGAUCAGACCGAAUAAUAUGUUCCUUAAACGCAUGCGCCUUUUUCGGGAUUCGUGGACAGAGAGACCGAGAUUUCGAGGAAACGAGAUCAGCACGUCACUUUGCACGAGAUAAACGCAGCCGGAUAUCACGUGCACCGAAAUUUUCGCGUUCAGAUUUAAUUUACAUAUCCAAUAUUUUUCCUUAAAUUGAACGCUUAAAAAACUUAUUAAACUUGAACUGCUAAUGUAAUUGAUUUUUUUGAGGUCAUUUAAUGGGGCCUUGAUUAAAAGGUCGGCAAUCAUAUCGCUGGUAUACAAAUAUUAUAAUUUGAAUUUCCCAUCACGUAGUGAUAGCGUAUUGCUAUGUGCUUAGUUCUCACAUGGAAUACAGGAUUUCUUAAUAAUUUUAAUGCGCUUGUAUUAUCAUAAAUAGUGACGUCGAUUUCGAAAUCUAAUGCCAGUUCUGAAAAAGUAUCGAUUAAAUACAAGGCUUGCUUAACAGCGUCUGUAAUUAUCAUAUAUUCUGAUUCCAUUUUUGAUAAAGCAACCAUUUGUCCAUUGCUUCCUUGAUUCCCAUGAAAUAGGACCUCCACCUAGAAAAAAACAUAAUCCGUAUAACAGUGGCGAUCGUUUAUGCAUCUUGCCCAAUGAGCGUCUGUAAAACCUUCCAAACAAUUGUUACCCGAUUGAUAAGAUAUGCAAUAAUGAUCGGUGCCUUUAAUAUACUUAAGUAUCCUUUAGACUCCUUCCUAAUGCGAUUUCUUGUGUCAGUUAUUGAAUUGACUUAAGUAACUUACUGUAUAACAUAUGUCAUAUCUAGACAUAGUUGCUGGAUACAUUAAACCUAUCAAUUCACAGUGUGGAUAUUGUUUAUCUUUAGCCUUUUGUUGUUCCUUAAUUAACACUGUACUUGGUUCUAAUAGGAAUCUCAGUCAUGAUGGAUUUCUCUAAUUAUUCUCUUAUAUGCAUCCUUUGGCCUACUUGAUUUCAUGGUCUUUGAUAGUAAACUCUACCUCUAAGCAAUAUUUGAUGUUUCCUAAAUCUUUAACUGAAAUGAACGCUUUUGUAAGACCAUUUUUAAUUUGUUAAAUCUUUGUUACAUUAAAAUGAAUAAUAUGGAUAAUAUGAAAAUAUCAUCGACACGAACAAUAACUAACAAUAGCUCUUCCUUUGAUCACGGUGGUAUACACAUGGGUUGAAAUUUGAUAGCUUCAAGCCCAUGUUCCUUAAUUCUUUAUCCAACUUUAUGUGCCACUGUCUAACUGUCUGCUUUAAUCCAUAUACAGCUUUCUUUAGCUUGCAAAUCUUAUUCCCGCCUUCCAUUUGCUUCAGCAUCUUUUUUGCGGUGUUUUUAAUUUUAUUAGUCGCCUUUUCUGUGUCUAUUUACUUCUUGAGCACAUUCUGCAUGUUCUCUGAUACUUCCAUAUAUACUUCCCUAUCCAGUGAACCGUUCAAGUAAGCGAUGGUAAUAUCAACCUGAUAGAUGUUUAUUUUAUAAUGAGCUGCCAAUGCUGCUGCAAGGCGAACUGAACUCAGACGAGCUAUAGGUGCGAAGGUCUUAGUAAAAUCCAAUUUUGAUCUCUGACUAAAAUCUCGUGCUACUAGUCUGGAUUUCUUCUUGCUAACUGCAUUGUCUGAUCCGUACUUGUUUGUUAACUAUGCGACUGCCAAUAAUAUUCUUUUUCUUAAGCUGCUCAACUAAUUCCCAAACAUUCUUUUCCAACAUUAAAUUAACCCUUUGCGCACGAGAGGCGACUCUCAGUAGCUACGGCGUUUUAUGUGGCAACUUUAGUCUUUAGACUGGCAACAACAGUCUUUAUUUAUGCUUUAUCUAUACUAUAUAUAGAUUUCGUUACCUCCAAAUAAUAGGAGCGCAGUAUGGGUUCGUAAAUAUGUUCCUUAGCUCUUUAUGGUCUUUUUUAUGACUUUUAGAAUGAAGAUAAGAUAAAAUUAAUCUCAAAUUCUUCUGGGACUGUGGUUCUAAUAAUGUUUCCGAUGUUAGUUCAGUUUCGACGAUCAAGGCAAAUGUAUCAUAAGAUUUUUCAUCGAUUGAUUUUAAGAUUUGAAGCCCCACAAAAAUGACUUUUAAAAGUGAAAUUAGUUCAAGUGAAGAUGAAUUUGAUUUUGAACUGUUCAAGAAAGAGACCAAUGUUAUUCAUGAAGAAAUUAAUAGUAGAGAAAGUGAAAGCAGUGAUGGAGAUAGUGACAUCGUAUUAGAUUUAAGAAAUAGAAAAAUUAGAUGAAUAGAUAACGAAUCGGAAAGUGAUAGUGAUUCCUCACAAGAUUCGAAUAAUGCAGAAUGGACACCCUGUGAUGAAUUCAGCGUAAUAUCACUGAGAAUAAAAUUCAUACCCGGCGAAAAACCUCUAGGAAAACAGCUAUCUUCAAAUAUCAAAGAACCUUUGGAUUUUUUUAAGAUGUUCUUUUCCGACGGACUAGUAACACAAAUAAUAACUGGAACUAACAAUUAUGCUGCAAUGAAGUUAGAGGGGAGGACGCUGUUGUCACGUUCGAUUUGGCAAACAUGGCAUAAUGUCAUCAAAGAAAAAUUUUAAGCGUUCAUCGCAAUUGUUAUAAAUAUGGGAACGAUGCCAAUGGCCAAUAUCCAAGAAUAUUGGUCAACUGACACAUCAAGCCACAUUCCAUUUUAUCCCAAUACUUUUAUAAGAGAUAGAUUUACCUACCUUUUUUGGAUGUUACAUGUAAAAAUAGUUUUAGCACAAGAUACUAAACUUACAAUACGUUUGCAGUUAAUAAGUGGCUACGUUGAUUAUAUAAACUCAAGAUUUUUGAAUCAUUUUACACAGAGAGAACAAAUUUGUGCCGACGAAGCUAUUAUAAAAUUCAAAGGGUAAAUUUCAUUUAUCAUGCAUAACCUGAAGAAACAAACUAAAUGGAGCAUUCGAAUUUAUAUAUUAGAAGAUUCCAAUACGAGUUAUAUUUGUGGAAUUAUGUCUUAUCAUGAUAGUCUUACAACACAAACAUUGAUAAAAUCAGACCUUCUAUUAUUAACUAGAAUUCCAUUGCAUUUGUACACAAUGCUAUUGAAUAAAAUUCCAGGUAUGCAAGAACAUUAUAUAUUUACAGACCCUUAUUAUAUCAUUUAUAUUUUAUCUAAUGAAUUACGUAAAUUAAAAUGUCAUUUGACUGGAACAAGAUUGACAAAUAGAAAAGAGUUGCUAGCAAUAAAAAAACCAAAAUUUCCAAAAAAAACUAAUGAUAGCUUAUUGUAGAAAUAAUAAUUUAGUUCUGACGUGGAAGUAUAAGAGGAUUGUCAAAUAUUGACAAAUUGGCAUAAUGCAGAGAUAAAUACAGUACAAAGAACUCUUCGUCAUGGUGUUCAGACUGUUGUUAGAAAACCUAAGGCAAUCAUAAAUUAUACAAAAUUCAUGGCGUGGCGUUGAUCGUGCCGAUCACUAUGCCUCGAUAUACUGCUUUAUGCAGAAAUUACUGAAAUGAUAGCGCAAGCUAAUUUUUUAGGGAUUAGAAAUCUGUUUAAUUAAUUUCUAUAUUCUUCAUAAACAAGUCAAACAGCAAAAGAACGAACAGUCACUUAAACACUUACAAUUUAUAAAAAUUUUAGUAGACCAUUUAUGAAGAGAUUUUUGACAACCGCAAGAUCGAGCUUCAACAUCGAUCUCCGAUUAUACGGCUAAAUGAAAAGCUCCAUAGAAUAUGAGCUUCACAGAUACAGAAAAGGAUUGUAAGGUUUGUUCUUAUCGAAACAAACAAAGUGGAAGACACAAAACUACCUAUUGCUGCGAUAUUUGUCCGGAUAAACCAAGGAUACACCUUGUUUUAUAAAUUAUAAUAUGAAAAAAAUACAGAACUUAAUAUUAGGUCUAUCGGAAAGUUCUGUUUUUAAAAUAAAAUAAAAUAAUAAAUUUUUUACACCUUGAAUAAA